ensembl:snoRNA
GGCCUCCUGGUGCCUACCAUGGGCUGUGUUCUUACACUGACUAUAUAGAAAGAGGAGGCAGAGUAAACCUACCCUAUAUACACUUUAGCCUAGGCCCUGUACUUAAUCUGUAUUAUUAAGGGGAAACAUAG